GGCCACAUUACAUUGAAAAACCAGUUCUCAUACAAUCACUGAAGUUAAGCAAUGUCGAGUCUGGUCUGUACCUAAAUGAGUGACCAUAUGGAAAUACCAGGUGCUGUAAG